AUGGCCGACCCAGGAGGCUCGCAGCGCGCGGCGCUGCUCGCCGUGGCGUCCCUCUUCCCCGUGCCCGCCGGCGCGACCUUCUCCUACGGGACGGCGGGGUUCCGCGCCGACGGGAGCACCAUGGCCCCCGCGGUGUGCCGCGCCGGGAUCGUCGCGGCGCUGCGCUCGCUGAAGCUGGGCGGCGCCGCCGUUGGGCUGGUCAUCACGGCCUCGCACAACCCCGUCGCCGACAACGGCGUCAAGAUCGUGGACGCCGACGGCGGCAUGAUGUCGCAGGCCUGGGAGCCCUUCUCCGACGCCCUCGCCAAUGCCCCCACCCCCGACGCGCUCCUGCAGCUGGUGCUUCAGUUUGCGAAGGAUGAAGGGAUUACACUUGGUGGAGGUCACUCGGCGCAAGUGCUGUUGGCAAGAGACACGAGGCCUACUGGAGAGUACCUCCUCCACGUUGCAGUCAAAGGUAUAAGCACAAUAGUAGGCUCAGUUGCACUUGACAUGGGGAUCCUGACAACUCCGCAGCUACACUGGAUGGUUCGGAACAAAAACAGAGGCUUGAAAGCCUCUGAAGCGGAUUAUUUUACACAAAUCGCCGAGUCAUUCAGGCAUUUAUUGGAAUUAACCCCUGAUGAUAAAGGCAUCGAUGACCUAAAUGAGAAACUAAUUGUGGAUGGCGCAAACGGUAUUGGUGGGUUGAAGUUGGAACAAAUAAAGUCAAAUCUGGCCAGAUUAGACAUUCUUGUGAGAAAUUCAGGAAAAGAAGGAGAAGGAAUACUUAAUGAGAGGUGUGGUGCUGACUUUGUUCAAAAGGAGAAGGUUCUUCCUCUUGGUUUUGGCCCUAAUGAUGUUGGUGUCAGGUGUGCAAGUUUCGAUGGUGAUGCAGAUAGACUUGUGUAUUUUCAUGUUACAUCGCCUAGCAAGACUAGUGUUGAUCUUGUCGAUGGCGAUAAGAUAUUAUCACUAUUUGUCCUCUUUAUUAGAGAACAGUUGGAUAUUAUCAAUGGAGAAGACAAUAAAGGAUUAUUGCCUACAAGGUUUGGUGUAGUUCAAACUGCUUAUGCCAAUGGAGCAUCAACAGAAUUUCUUAAAAAUCUUGGUCUUGAAGUUGUCUUCACUUCAACAGGAGUGAAAUAUCUCCACAAGAAAGCUCUAGAAUAUGAUAUUGGUGUCUACUUUGAGGCCAAUGGACACGGGACAGUGCUAUUCAAUGAUGAGUUUGUCUCACGGCUUGAGUCUUUGACUGCUAGGCUUUCUGAAGCUGCAGGUUCUCCACAGCACCAAGCUGCCUCGAGAUUGGUAGCAGCAAGUCAAUUAAUUAAUCAAGCAGUGGGUGAUGCUAUAAGUGGAAUGCUUUUGGUGGAGGCUGUUUUACAGCAUAAGAGAUGGUCAUUCCAGAAUUGGUGUGACCUAUACACUGAUCUACCAAGUAAACAACUUAAGGUUAAAGUGAAAGAUCGAACUUCUAUUGUUACAACCGAUGCAGAACGAAAAGUUUGCCAACCAUCUGGCUUGCAAGAAUUGAUAGAUAAGGAAGUCGUUAAUUACUCUCAUGGGCGAUGCUUUGUGCGGCCAUCUGGAACUGAGGAUGUGGUAAGAGUAUACGCAGAGGCAUCUACCAUGGAAGCAGCGGAAAGCCUUGCAAAAUCUGUAGCACAGCAUGUUGAGCGCAUUCUCGGGUUUUGCUAG
rnacentral:rRNA from 1 species